rnacentral:rRNA from 1 species
UCUGAGAGGAUGAUCCGCCACACUGGGACUGAGACACGGCCCAGACUCCUACGGGAAGGCAGCAGUGGGGAAUUUUUGGACAAUGGGCGCAAGCCUGAUCCAGCCAUGCCGCGUGAGUGAAGAAGGCCUUCGGGUUGUAAAGCUCUUUCGGCCGGGAAGAAAUCGUGGUCUCUAACAUAGGCCAUGGAUGACGGUACCGGACUAAGAAGCACCGGCUAACUACGUGCCAGCAGCCGCGGUAAUACGUAGGGUGCGAGCGUUAAUCGGAAUUACUGGGCGUAAAGCGUGCGCAGGCGGUUUUGUAAGACAGAUGUGAAAUCCCCGGGCUUAACCUGGGAACUGCGUUUGUGACUGCAAGGCUAGAGUACGGCAGAGGGGGGUGGAAUUCCUGGUGUAGCAGUGAAAAUGCGUAGAGAUCAGGAGGAACACCGAUGGCGAAGGCAGCCCCCUGGGCCUGUACUGACGCUCAUGCACGAAAGCGUGGGGAGCU